rnacentral:ncRNA from 1 species
GGUUCAUCUGCCAAUGAUCAAAAGGGAAUCAGGUGCAAUACCUGAACAGUCCCGCUGCUGUAAGUAGCCUUUUUUAGAUGGAACAAAGUGCCACUGGUAUUUGCCGGGAAGGCCGUUCCAUUGUUUCAGGCUGCAAGUCAGAAGACCUGCCAGUUGUCUG